rnacentral:lncRNA from 1 species
ACACAACAAGAAAAUUAACAUUUAAGAACGUUUAUGACUAAAAGCAUUCCAAUAUAGUCUAGCGUCAUAUUUGAAAGCGUCGAUUAAAACGUCGAUAAAUAAAGAGUCGUCACUUAUAUAUCGACACUUACACCAAGCGUCGAUAAAAUAUAUUCUGACGUUUUAAAGCAUUAAAAUUUUUCAUGAUUUUUUAAAAUCAUGAAGCUUUAAAGUGUCGGAAAAUUAAAAGAAAUAAUAAAAUUUAGAGCAAUGCUCUUAUACACCAACAGAUCUUAGUCCUUAAAUUUUCUAAAAUAGAUAGUGAGGAUGUCUUUUAUUUAAGAGGGUGACCAGCUUUUGUUGUAUUAGGUACCGGUCAUCCUCUUACCGAG